AGCGAACGCUGGCGGCAGGCCUAACACAUGCAAGUCGAACGAACCCUUCGGGGUUAGUGGCGGACGGGUGAGUAACACGUGGGAACGUGCCUUUAGGUUCGGAAUAACUCAGGGAAACUUGUGCUAAUACCGAAUGUGCCCUUCGGGGGAAAGAUUUAUCGCCUUUGGGGCGGCCCGCGUCUGAUUAGCUAGUUGGUGAGGCAAUGGCUCACCAAGGUUACGAUCAGUAGCUGGUCUGAGAGGAUGACCAGCCACAUUGGGACUGAGACACGGCCCAAACUCCUACGGGAGGCAGCAGUGGGGAAUCUUGCGCAAUGGGCGAAAGCCUGACGCAGCCAUGCCGCGUGGAUGAUGAAGGUCUUAGGAUUGUAAAAUCCUUUCGCCGGUGAAGAUAAUGACUGUAGCCGGAGAAGAAGCCCCGGCUAACUUCGUGCCAGCAGCCGCAGUAACAC
rnacentral:rRNA from 1 species